rnacentral:rRNA from 1 species
AACGAAGGCUGGCGGCAUGCCUAACACAUGCAAGUCGAACGAGACCUUCGGGUCUAGUGGCGCACGGGUGCGUAACGCGUGGGAACCUGCCCUUAGGUUCGGAAUAACUCCCCGAAAGGGGUGCUAAUACCGGAUAAUGUCUUCGGACCAAAGAUUUAUCGCCUUUGGAUGGGCCCGCGUUGGAUUAGCUAGUUGGUAGGGUAAAAGCCUACCAAGGCGACGAUCCAUAGCUGGUCUGAGAGGAUGAUCAGCCACACUGGGACUGAGACACGGCCCAGACUCCCACGGGAGGCAGCAGUGGGGAAUAUUGGACAAUGGGCGAAAGCCUGAUCCAGCAAUGCCGCGUGAGUGAUGAAGGCCUUAGGGUUGUAAAGCUCUUUUACCCGGGAUGAUAAUGACAGUACCGGGAGAAUAAGCUCCGGCUAACUCCGUG